rnacentral:rRNA from 1 species
CUAGCAUAUCAAUAAGCGGAGGAAAAGAAACUAACAAGGAUUCCCCUAGUAACUGCGAGUGAAGCGGGAAAAGCUCAAAUUUAAAAUCUGGCGGUCUUUGCCCGUCCGAGUUGUAGUCUGGAGAAGUGCUUUCCGCGCUGGACCGUGUAUAAGUCUCUUGGAACAGAGCGUCAUAGAGGGUGAGAAUCCCGUCUUUGACACGGACUACCAGUGCUUUGUGAUGCGCUCUCAAAGAGUCGCGUUGUUUGGGAAUGCAGCGCAAAAUGGGUGGUGAAUUCCAUCUAAAGCUAAAUAUUGGCGAGAGACCGAUAGCGAACAAGUACCGUGAGGGAAAGAUGAAAAGCACUUUGGAAAGAGAGUUAAACAGUACGUGAAAUUGCUGAAAGGGAAACGCUUGAAGUCAGUCGCGUUGUCCGGGACUCAGCCUUGCUUCGGCUUGGUGCACUUUCCGGAUGACGGGCCAGCAUCGAUUUUGACCGCUGGAAAAGGGCUGGAGGAAUGUGGCACCUUCGGGUGUGUUAUAGCCUCCAGUCGCAUACGGCGGUUGGGAUCGAGGAACGCAGCACGCCUUACGGCGGGGGUUCGCCCACCUUCGUGCUUAGGAUGCUGGCAUAAUGGCUUUAAACGACCCGUCUUGAAACACGGACCAAGGAGUCUAACAUGCCUGCGAGUGUUUGGGUGGAAAACCCGAGCGCGUAAUGAAAGUGAAAGUCGGGACCUCUGUCGUGGAGGGCACCGACGCCCGGACCUGACGUUCUCUGACGGAUCCGCGGUAGAGCAUGUAUGUUGGGACCCGAAAGAUGGUGAACUAUGCCUGAAUAGGGUGAAGCCAGAGGAAACUCUGGUGGAGGCUCGUAGCGAUUCUGACGUGCAAAUCGAUCGUCAAAUUUGGGUAUAGGGGCGAAAGACUAAUCGAACCAUCUAGUAGCUGGUUCCUGCGAUCUCUUCCCUCUACCGGUAAAA